GUGGGGAAUCUUCCGCAAUGGACGAGAGUCUGACGGAGCAACGCCGCGUGAGUGAAGAAGGUUUUCGGAUCGUAAAGCUCUUUCGUUAGGGACGAACGUGCUCUUUGUGAAUAAUGAGGAGUAAUGACGGUACCUAAAUAAGAAGCCACGGCUAACUACGUGCCAGCAGCCGCGGUAAUACGUAGGUGGCAAGCGUUGUCCGGAAUUAUUGGGCGUAAAGCGCGCGCAGGCGGGAUAUCAAGUCUGUCUUAAAAGUGCGAGGCUCAACCUCGUGAGGGGACAGAAACUGGUAUUCUUGAGUGUCGGAGAGGAAAGUGGAAUUCCAAGUGUAGCGGUGAAAUGCGUAGAGAUUUGGAAGAACACCAGUGGCGAAGGCGACUUUCUGGACGAUGUCUGACGCUGAGGCGCGAAAGCUAGGGGAGCGAACGGGAUUAGAUACCCUUGUAGUCC
rnacentral:rRNA from 1 species